UACGUAGGGGGCGAGCGUUGUCCGGAAUCAUUGGGCGUAAAGAGCGCGUAGGCGGCCCGAUAAGUCCGCUGCAAAAGUCCAGGGCUCAACCCUGGAAAGCCGGUGGAUACUGUCGGGCUCGAGUCCGGAAGAGGCGAGUGGAAUUCCUGGUGUAGCGGUGAAAUGCGCAGAUAUCAGGAAGAACACCUAUGGCGAAGGCAGCACUCUGGGACGGUACUGACGCUGAGACGCGAAAGCGUGGGGAGCGAACAGG
rnacentral:rRNA from 1 species